rnacentral:ncRNA from 2 species
UUUAUCCACUAGGGGUGCUAUUCAUUUAGCUGAGAUAGACGGUAUGUCUAAUCCCUUUGAACCUGAUUUGGUUAAUACCAGCGUAGGAAAGUGGAAACGUCUAUUU